rnacentral:rRNA from 1 species
GACGAACGCUGGCGGCGUGGAUUAGGCAUGCAAGUCGAACGGUAUCAUCCUUUCGGGGGUGAGAGAGUGGCGAACUGGUGAGUAACACGUAGGUUAUCUACCCUCAAGACGGGGACAACCCAGGGAAACUUGGGCUAAUACCGGAUGUGAGCAACUUUUAGUUGUUUGAAAGGUGGCGUAAGCUGUCGCUUGGGGAUGAGCCUGCGUCCUAUUAGUUAGUUGGUGAGGUAACGGCUCACCUAGGCAAUGAUAGGUAGGCGGCCUUAACGGGUGGUCGCCCACACUGGGAUUGAGAUACGGCCCAGACUCCUACGGGAGGCAGCAGUCGAGAAUAGUCUACAAUGGUCGGAAGACUGAUAGUGCGACGCCGCGUGAACGAUGAAUCCCUUCGGGGUGUAAAGUUCUUUUAUAUGUGAGCAGUGCUUCUUAUAUUAACAGUAUGGGGAAGAGAUAUAGCAUAUGAAUAAGCAACGGCUAACUCCGUGCCAGCAGCCGCGGUAAAU